UGCAUGGUUGUCGUCAGCUCGUGUCGUGAGAUGUUGGGUUAAGUCCCGCAACGAGCGCAACCCUUGUCUUUAGUUGCCAUCAUUAAGUUGGGCACUCUAGAGAGACUGCCAGGGAUAACCUGGAGGAAGGUGGGGAUGACGUCAAAUCAUCAUGCCCCUUAUGCUUAGGGCUACACACGUGCUACAAUGGGUAGUACAGAGGGUUGCCAAGCCGUAAGGUGGAGCUAAUCCCUUAAAGCUACUCUCAGUUCGGAUUGUAGGCUGAAACUCGCCUACAUGAAGCUGGAGUUACUAGUAAUCGCAGAUCAGAAUGCUGCGGUGAAUGCGUUCCCGGGUCUUGUACACACCGCCCGUCACACCACGGAAGUUGGAGACGCCCGAAGCCGAUUAUCUAACCUUUUGGAAGAAGUCGUCGAAGGUGGAAUCAAUAACUGGGGUGAAGUCGUAACAAGGUAGCCGUAUCGGAAGGUGCGGCUGGAUCACCUCCUUU
rnacentral:rRNA from 1 species